UUUGGGGGAAAUAGUGAUCCGUCGGGUUGGGGAAAAAAGUAUCAUCCCUUGAAGUAAAAUUAGGUUUGCUUCCUUUUACUCCCAAAAUCUUUUUACCGCGUGGGUAAAAAGAAUCAUCAUGGGGGGGUAUAAAAAGGAACCAAAUUUAAAUUUACCUCAAGGGAUCUUGAUGUUUUUUUCCCCAACAGGACGGAUCACUAUUUUCUCCAAG
rnacentral:pre_miRNA from 1 species